rnacentral:rRNA from 1 species
AAAAUUUGUUAUUAAUUUGAUUUAUAUGUAAAUUUUUGUAUGAAUUUAUAUUUAUUUUAAAAAUAAAUAUAUUAUAUUUAUUCGCAGUAAUUAAUAUUAUUAAUUAAAGAAAUUUAGAAAUAGCAAUAUUAAAAAGUAUUGGCAAAAUUGGUGCCAGCAGUCGCGGUUACACCAAUAAUACAAAUAAAUUUUUUUAGUAAAAGUUAAAUGAUUAUAAAAUUAAAUAAAAUUGAAUUUAUUAGGUGAAAUUUUAAAUUUAAAUUAUUUAUUUGUAAAUAAAUUGAAACUAAAAAAUUUUAAUUAA